UGUGUUUGAUCCUGGCUCAGAUUGAACGCUGGCGGCAUGCCUUACACAUGCAAGUCGAACGGCAGCACGGGGGCAACCCUGGUGGCGAGUGGCGAACGGGUGAGUAAUACAUCGGAACGUGUCCUGUAGUGGGGGAUAGCCCGGCGAAAGCCGGAUUAAUACCGCAUACGAUCUACGGAAGAAAGCGGGGGAUCGCAAGACCUCGCGCUAUAGGGGCGGCCGAUGGCAGAUUAGCUAGUUGGUGGGGUAAAGGCCUACCAAGGCGACGAUCUGUAGCUGGUCUGAGAGUGACGACCAGCCACACUGGGACUGAGACACGGCCCAGACUCCUACGGGAGGCAGCAGUGGGGAAUUUUGGACAAUGGGGGAAACCCUGAUCCAGCAAUGCCGCGUGUGUGAAGAAGGCCUUCGGGUUGUAAAGCACUUUUGUCCGGAAAGAAAACUUCUGCCCUAAUACGGUGGGAGGAUGACGGUACCCGGAAGAAUA
rnacentral:rRNA from 1 species